GACCAUUAGACACCUUCCAGCAGAAGGAACCCAGGACCCCACAAGGAAUCUUUGGGAAGAGGAUUGAAAAAGAAGUACAGCUGGAGGAAAAGGCAUCAGAUUUGUUAAGACAACUUUCUACAAACUCUUCAAAGGAAAUCUCCAAUUCUCAUGAGUCAUGGCAAAAAUCAAUGCUGACCUUCAGAAAUAUUUGCAGAUCCUAAUCAAUGACAAUAUCCUGUGACAAUGAUGGAAUUUAUAUCUAUUCAUGUCAUCUCAGAGCUUGGCAAAGAAAUAAAUGAAUCUGGGUGCUCCCUCAGUCCUAGGAGAAAAGCAGCUGAUUUAUGAAGUGGAAAUAGCCAACCCAAUUCUGGAGGAAGCUGCCAAAGUCAUUUAUCCUCUCGGAGAAAUAUAGAAAGCCCUUUAGAAGAUAUGUAUAUUGACAUUUAGAAG